rnacentral:tRNA from 1 species
GGUUCCAUAGUGUAGCGGUUAGUACAUUUGCCUUACACGCAGAAGGUCCUGGGUUUGUGCCCCAGUGGAGCCA